AGUAGGUGGACGUAGUCCUGCUCAGCACUGCAAGAUUUCCAACAUUUUUACUGAUAGGCCCUGCACAGUCUUAGGAAUCGCCAGGAAGAAUGAACAAGUGUCUUUGCGUAUUGAGAUGACACCUGCAAGAAGGAGAUGGCAACACCUGGAGGUAUGCGUGGGUCUGCAAAUUUGUGGCUACGACAGGACACCUGGGAUUUUAGGGAAACACUAAGGA
rnacentral:lncRNA from 1 species